rnacentral:lncRNA from 1 species
ACUGGUUUAGUCUCCUUUGUAAUUUCCUCUUCAGUCGGCUCGCUUGGUGAUAUAACUUUUUUCUUUUUAGCAACCUUUUUCUUUUUCGUCGUGACAAUACUAAUAUUCUCUUGACCUCUCGGAUUUUGAACUGUUUCACUUGGUAAGGAACCUGGUGUUCGAGAACUUGCUAGUUAUUGUGUUAUCUGCCCCAGCUGAACUUCAAGGUUCUUUAGAGAGGCGGUGGUGUUUUU